rnacentral:rRNA from 1 species
UGUAGCCUACGGGACGCAGCAGUGGGGAAUUUUCGUCAAUGGGCGCAAGCCUGAACGAGCAAUGCCGCGUGAACGAGGAAGGUGUUCGGAUCGUAAAGUUCUGUUGAAGGGGAAAAAGAGCGGAGAGAGGAAAUGAACUCCGAUUGAUAUUACCCUUCGAGGAAGUCACGGCUAACUACGUGCCAGCAGCCGCGGAAAAACGUAGGUGGAGAGGGUUAUCCGGAAUGAUUGGGCGUAAAGGGAGCGUAGACGGGGAGGUAAGCCUGAAGUGG